UACGAAGGGGGCUAGCGUUGCUCGGAAUCACUGGGCGUAAAGGGUGCGUAGGCGGGUUUCUAAGUCAGAGGUGAAAGCCUGGAGCUCAACUCCAGAACUGCCUUUGAUACUGGAAGUCUUGAGUAUGGCAGAGGUGAGUGGAACUGCGAGUGUAGAGGUGAAAUUCGUAGAUAUUCGUCAAGAACACCAGUGGCGAAAGGCGGCUCACUGGGCCAUUACUGACGCUGAGGCACGAGAGCGUGGGGAGCAA
rnacentral:rRNA from 1 species